UACGGGAGGCAGCAGUGGGGAAUAUUGGACAAUGGGCGAAAGCCUGAUCCAGCCAUGCCGCGUGUGUGAAGAAGGUCUUCGGAUUGUAAAGCACUUUAAGUUGGGAGGAAGGGCAGUAAGCUAAUACCUUGCUGUUUUGACGUUACCGACAGAAUAAGCACCGGCUAACUCUGUGCCAGCAGCCGCGGUAAU
rnacentral:rRNA from 1 species